UACGGAGGAUCCAAGCGUUAUCCGGAUUUAUUGGGUUUAAAGGGUACGCAGGCGGGCUAAUAAGUCAGUGGUGAAAGACUGCCGCUUAACGGUAGCAUUGCCAUUGAUACUGUUAGUCUUGAGUACAUUUGAAGUGGGCGGAAUGUGAAGUGUAGCGGUGAAAUGCUUAGAUAUUACACAGAACACCGAUAGCGUAGGCAGCUCACUAAGAUGCAACUGACGCUCAGGCACGAAAGCGUGGGGAUCAAACAGG
rnacentral:rRNA from 1 species